UACGUAGGGUGCGAGCGUUAAUCGGAAUUACUGGGCGUAAAGCGUGCGCAGGCGGUUUUGUAAGUCAGAUGUGAGAGCCCCGGGCUCAACCUGGGAAUGGCAUUUGGGACUGCAAGGCUUGAGUGCGGCAGAGGAGACUGGAAUUCCUGGUGUAGCAGUGAAAUGCGUAGAUAUCAGGAGGAAUACCGAUGGCGAAGGCAGGUCUCUGGGCUGACACUGACGCUCAUGCACGAAAGCGUGGGGAGCAAACAGG
rnacentral:rRNA from 1 species